rnacentral:rRNA from 1 species
AUGGGCGCAAGCCUGACCGAGCGACGCCGCGUGGAGGAUGAAGGCCUUCGGGUUGUAAACUCCUGUCGAGGGGGAGGAAGGGGUAACCUUGACCUAUCCCUGGAGGAAGCACGGGCUAAGUUCGUGCCAGCAGCCGCGGUAAGACGAACCGUGCGAACGUUAUUCGGAACCACUGGGCUUAAAGCGCGUGUAGGCGGAUGGGGACGUCGGUCGCUGAAAUCCCCCGGCUCAACCGGGGAACGGGCACCGAAACGCCCCGUCUGGAGGAACGUAGGGGGACCUGGAACUUCCGGUGGAGCGGUGAAAUGCGUUGAGAUCGGAAGGAACGCCCGUGGCGAAAGCGAGGUCCUGGACGUUUUCUGACGCUGAGACGCGAAAGCUAGGGUAGCGAACGGGAUUAGAUACCCCGGUAGUCCUAGCCGUAAACGAUGGGCACUGGAUAGGGGGCUCGCCGAUGGGCUCCCUGUCGUAGGGAAACCGUGAAGUGCCCCGCCUGGGGAGUAU